rnacentral:rRNA from 1 species
UACGUAGGUGGCGAGCGUUGUCCGGAUUUACUGGGCGUAAAGGGCGUGCAGGCGGUUUGUUAAGUGCAGGGUGAAAGCUCCCGGCUCAACUGGGAGAGGUCCUUGCAUACUGGCGAACUCGAGGGAGGCAGAGGAAAGUGGAAUUCCCGGUGUAGUGGUGAUAUGCGUAGAUAUCGGGAGGAACACCGGUGGCGAAGGCGGCGUUCUGGGCCUUACCUGACGCUGAGACGCGAAAGCGUGGGGAGCGAACCGG